rfam:Elusimicrobia bacterium RIFOXYD12_FTLL_66_9 rifoxyd3_full_scaffold_1176, whole genome shotgun sequence.
ACCGGUGAUAUUUCCGAAAGGGAUACACCCGUUCCCAUUCCGAACACGGCCGUUAAGCCUUUCAGGGCCGAUGGUACUAACGCCCAACUCGGCGUUGGGAGAGUAGGUCGUCGCCGGUC